rnacentral:rRNA from 1 species
AUUGAACGCUGGCGGCAUGCCUUACACAUGCCAGUCGAACGGCAGCACGGGUGCUUGCACCUGGUGGCGAGUGGCGAACGGGUGAGUAAUACAUCGGAACAUGUCCUGUAGUGGGGGAUAGCCCGGCGAAAGCCGGAUUAAUACCGCAUACGAUCUACGGAUGAAAGCGGGGGACCUUGGGGCCUCGCGCUAUAGGGUUGGCCGAUGGCUGAUUAGCUAGUUGGUGGGGUAAAGGCCUACCAAGGCGACGAUCAGUAGCUGGUCUGAGAGGACGACCAGCCACACUGGGACUGAGACACGGCCCAGACUCCUACGGGAGGCAGCAGUGGGGAAUUUUGGACAAUGGGCGAAAGCCUGAUCCAGCAAUGCCGCGUGUGUGAAGAAGGCCUUCGGGUUGUAAAGCACUUUUGUCCGGAAAGAAAUCCUUGGCUCUAAUACAGUCGGGGGAUGACGGUACCGGAAGAAUAAGCACCGGCUAACUACGUG